AAUGGCAGUGCAAAUGGUCUUAAAUACUGAGGGUGAAAUUCAGUAAGGACAAGUGCAGGGAAGUGUACCUGGGAAAGAGAAAUGAAUCAUACACUUCAAAGCUGAGGAGCGACUGCCUACAUAGCAGCUCAACAGGAAAGUAUUUAAGAUUUUUAGUAGAGCACGAGUGGAGUGUGAGGUAACGUCUUGUUUUUGCAGAAAAGCCAACACCUUGCUAGGAGCUAUGAAAGGAGUGUCUCCUGUGCUCCGCAAGUCUGUAAGACACAUGAAGUAAUCCUUCCAUUAUCCACAGCUCGUCUCGGAGAGAACAACCUGCACAAUGCUGUGCGUGAUGCUCGUGGUUAGAGGUGGACCAGUGGGAGCAAGCCUUUAAAGAGGAUCAGCAAUGACCAGCUGCAAAGAGUCAGAGACAUGACCUCGGAGGAAUGACUGGCUUGUUUUUGAGAAGAGAAGACUGAGAAGGGAAAUGCUCCCAAAAUGGCAAGAGUUACUGCAGAGAGGAAGUAAGAAAUUAUUUUCCAUGCACAUGUGCAGGGGAAUAGGAUGAGAAGUAAUGGCUUGAAACUGCAGUGGCAGAGAUGUAUGGAGCUUUCUAAAGCUAAGAGGAGCAAAGCAUAAUUAUUUAGUAUGGGAGUUCCUGCAAUUGCCGUCUUCGUGACUCUUGGAAGCAGAUGAAACAAGCAUCUAUCAGGAAUGUUUUUGCUGACUCUGACCCUACCUUGGAGGCAGGAAUGCAUUAGAUGAUUUCUCAAGGCACUAUCCAUCCUGUUUUCUGUAAUGAAAGGGAGUUCUGGGAUUUCAAGGGAGUGAAGCUUUGCCUCCACCAGAAAGAUGUGCUCUCACGGGUCCUGCCACGAUCACCACAACACCUGCCACAGGUCACGAUGUGGGUCUCACUGCCAUGAGUCCAGACCCUCCUGCAACAUCAAUGAGGUAGAGAGGCUGUCCGUUCAGUCCUGGUGCCCCGUGCAGCAGUACUGCCCCGUGCAGCACUACUGUCCACCCACCUGCUGCUACCCACGCUACCAGUAUUCCCAGUGCUGCAAGUUCCCUCCGGAAUACCCCAAGUGCCCUCCCCAGUACCCCAAGUAAGACACCUACAUUAGCACUGAAGCCCAGACCUGCCUCUUGCAAUCCUCCUGUUGUUUUCAAUGCCAAACGAUAUUUUGUCUUGUUUCAUAAUGGCACCUUCUUAGCAUACGUGUGACCAACUUUGUCUGGUUUCUGACUAAGUGUAAUGUAUGAUCUUGGAGAAUGGGGUGAUUGUAAAUCUUGAUCUGAUUAUUUAUAAUCUUACUUUACUGCUUCAUGCUCCAGCCGGAUAUGGCACAUAAUAAAAUAUAUAAUUCCGCAAAACUA